rnacentral:rRNA from 1 species
UGUAGGCGGUUUGGUAAGUCAGAUGUGAAAGCCCUGGGCUCAACCCAGGAAGUGCAUUUGAAACUACCCAACUUGAGUACGGGAGAGGAAGGGGGAAUUCCCGGUGUAGAGGUGAAAUUCGUAGAUAUCGGGAGGAAUACCGGUGGCGAAGGCGCCCUUCUGGACUGAUACUGACGCUGAGACGCGAAAGCGUGGGGAGCAAACA